rnacentral:tRNA from 1 species
UAAAAAUGAAGCAAAAUUUUGCAGUCAAUUUCGGCCUGACCUUAGGAAUUCCCAUUUUUAU